rnacentral:rRNA from 1 species
UGGGGAAUAUUGGACAAUGGGCGAAAGCCUGAUCCAGCCAUGCCGCGUGUGUGAAGAAGGUCUUCGGAUUGUAAAGCACUUUAAGUUGGGAGGAAGGGCAGUAAGCGAAUACCUUGCUGUUUUGACGUUACCGACAGAAUAAGCACCGGCUAACUCUGUGCCAGCAGCCGCGGUAAUACAGAGGGUGCAAGCGUUAAUCGGAAUUACUGGGCGUAAAGCGCGCGUAGGUGGUUCGUUAAGUUGAAUGUGAAAGUCCCGGGCUCAACCUGGGAACUACAUCCAAAACUGGCGAGCUAGAGUAGGGCAGAGGGUGGUGGAAUUUCCUGUGUAGCGGUGAAAUGCGUAGAUAUAGGAAGGAACACCAGUGGCGAAGGCGACCACCUGGGCUCAUACUGACACUGAGGUGCGAAAGCGUGGGGAGCAAACAGG